ensembl:piRNA 21ur-4315 ncRNA
AUAGGAUGUUGUCUCGUUUAC